rnacentral:rRNA from 1 species
AUGGCGACAAACACACCACCCUUCGCCCCCGCGGCGGCUGCGAUCGGCCAAGGCGACGCAGGAAAAGGAAGGCGUGGAGUGCGAUCCCGCGACGGCCGCAAGCGCCGGAGGGUCGCCGAGGAGAGCGGCGGCUGGGCGUCGCUCCCCAGCGACAUGGUCCGCCUCGUCGCCGCGCGGGUGCUGGUCACUGGGGACGUGGUGGACUACCUGGUCCUCCGCUCCGUCUGCUCCGGCUGGCGAGCAUGCACGCCCGCUGGCCGCAGCGGAAGCCUGGGGACAAGGAAGCAGCUGUGCCUCCGCCCGCGCGGCUGGGUCGCGCUCUGCGACGGCGACGCGGUGCGCCCGGACGACGCCCGCGCGGUCACCUUCUUCAAGCCCAGCACCGGCCGCCGCCUCCGUGUCCGCCUCCCGAACCUCCGGGGCCACAGGGUCGUCGCCAUCAGCGACGGUCUCCUCGUCCUGCUCCACAAGCGCACCACCGCCGUCCGCGUGCUCCAUCCCUUCACCCGCGCAGUGCUCGACCUCCCGCCCAUCGCCCCGACCUUCCGCGUGGUGGCAGGGAGCCGGGACUCUCUCCUCCGCAUGAACGCCGCCGUCUGCAUGAACGCACCGACCCGCGACUACUCCAUCGACGUCGUGGCCUGGUUCCCGGGGACAAACGCCGUGCUCUGGGCCAAGCCCAGCUACGCCAACUGGGACGCCAUCUACCUUGACGUCGAGCUCCAGAGCGUCCUCCUUUUCCGCGGCCGUCUCUACGCCACCACGUGGACAUCCGCCAACAUCCUGCAGGUGUACCCUCCGAGCAAGUGCUUUCCUGUGGACACCCCCAUCCCCGACGAGUUCGGGAACCCAUCGUCGUGCCGCUACUUCCUCGUCGAGUCCAACGGCCGCAUGCUGCUCGCUGUUCGGCAUUAUGUCUACACGGCCAACGCGCCGUCGUUCACCGCCUUCAAGAUCUUCACGGUGGACCUGGACCGCCGGCAGCUGACCCCCGUGAGCAGCAUCGGCGAUCGUGCGCUGAUCCUCGGCCAGGACAGGUGCCUGUCCGUCUCGGCCAGCCACUUCCCGUCCAUCAGCGGAAACUCUGUCUACUGUUCCUACUACCGAUACUCCUCGGAAUUCGGUGUCCAGCUACACUCCCUGAGCAGUGGCUCCACCGAGGCGCCAUCGGCGUGGAACCUCUUACGCGACGACAUGGAGAUGAUUGCCUCAGCGCGGCCUUUCACCAUUGCCGACCAUCUUGUCACAUACUGCAAUCAUCUUGAAUGGGCAAGAGGACUCAUGUUUCAUGAGUAUCACAACAUACUUGAUAGCUUCGUGGAACUAAAGAAGAAAAUCAGGAAGCAAGAUGCAGAGCUGCGUAUUCCAUUUGGUGACGCCAGGAAGAAGACGGGCAAACCAUCUACUCUCUAUUCCAAAUAG